UACGGGAGGCAGCAGUGGGGAAUAUUGGACAAUGGGCGCAAGCCUGAUCCAGCCAUGCCGCGUGUGUGAAGAAGGCCUUUUGGUUGUAAAGCACUUUUAAGCGAGGAGGAGGCUCUCUUAGUUAAUACCUAAGAUGAGUGGACGUUACUCGCAGAAUAAGCACCGGCUAACUCUGUGCCAGCAGCCGCGGUAAUACAGAGGGUGCGAGCGUUAAUCGGAUUUUACUGGGCGUAAAGCGUGCGUAGGCGGCUUUUUUAAGUCGGAUGUGAAAUCCCCGAGCUUAACUUGGGAAUUGCAUUCGAUACUGGGAAGCUAGAGUAUGGGAGAGGAUGGUAGAAUUCCAGGUGUAGCGGUGAAAUGCGUAGAGAUCUGGAGGAAUACCGAUGGGCGAAGGGCAGCCAUCUGGGCCUAAUACUGACGCUGAGGUACGAAAGCAUGGGGAGGCAAACAGGGAUUAGAUACC
rnacentral:rRNA from 1 species